GACUUAGAAUAAUAAAAUACUCUACAUUUCUUCCAUUUUUCGUCUUACAAAACAAAACAAAAGAAGUAUACCCUACUGUAGAAAAGGGGCGGGAAAACAACACCUUUCCACUUCUUUUUCCUGUGUCUGUUUCCACUCUAUCUCCCAACACCUCACAAAAAUCUUCAAAUUUGUCCCCGUAAAAAUCUGGAGGCUAACAACAUUGGAGGAGUCCUCUCAGCCCAGGUUAGAGCAGGCCUGCAAAUCAUUUCAACACCUUGAUAUCCUCCCUACUUUCCCCUCCUCUCAAACCUCCCCAACACCCUGUUCAAAACACAGGACAAGCCUGGAGUACCUGAGCUGCUCCUUUCGGCUCGCCGGCAAACAUCUCACAAGGAAGCCGGCAGUUUUAUUGCCCGUUCUCAGACUAAAUUUUCUCCCCCUCUGGCGUUGACCGCUCUCGUAUGUUGAGUUUUUUUCUUCUUCGAGACACUGUUAACGAGACGACUGGAGCAAGCUAGGCUGCUGUCAGGUGUCCCUUAGAAGUCCCUCAACUGCAGAGCUCUCCAUAUAGCCGUGUCGUACAUCUCAAGAGCGUGAUGCGACCGUUCCUCGACCCUCGAGUCGCCCACACCAAGGUGGUAAUCGUGACGUCAAGUGCCUCAUAGAACUUCUUCAGGACAAGAUGCUAUGGGUGCGUGGUGCCACUUAUGGUCCAACCGCCUACCCCUUUACACCCCCACACCUAAACCGACCACCACCAGUACAAGCCUCACCACCACCACACAACCGAACACCCUCUCCCCCCUCUUCCCCCACUCCCACAACCCGCCUUUCUUUUCCACCCGACCCAUUUUAAUUAAAACGUGACUUUACAAAU